rnacentral:rRNA from 1 species
UACGGAGGGUGCAAGCGUUAUCCGGAUUUACUGGGUUUAAAGGGUGUGUAGGCGGGCUUUUAAGUCAGUGGUGAAAUCUCCGAGCUCAACUCGGAAACUGCAUUGAAUACUAUCCUGCUAGAGGGUUGGAGGGGAGACUGGAAUUCUCGGUGUAGCAGUGAAAUGCGUAGAUAUCGAGAGGAACACCAGUGGCGAAGGCGAGUCUCUGGACAACUCCUGACACUGAGGCACGAAAGCUAGGGGAGCAAACAGG